rnacentral:tRNA from 2 species
CUUGUCUUAGUUUAAGCAUAGAAUAAUAGUUUUGGGGAUUAUUGGUUUCUUUUUAGAAAGGCUUGA